UACAGAGGUCUCAAGCGUUGUUCGGAUUUACUGGGCGUAAAGGGCGCGUAGGCGGCCACCGCAAGUCGGUUGUGAAAUCUCCGGGCUUAACCCGGAACGGUCAAUCGAUACUGCGGGGCUAGAGUGCAGAAGGGGCAACUGGAAUUCUCGGUGUAGCGGUGAAAUGCGUAGAUAUCGAGAGGAACACCUGCGGCGAAGGCGGGUUGCUGGGCUGACACUGACGCUGAAGCGCGAAAGCUAGGGGAGCGAACGGG
rnacentral:rRNA from 1 species